rnacentral:rRNA from 1 species
CUGGCGGCGUGCCUAAUACAUGCAAGUCGAACGGCUUUUCUAUGGAAGCUUGCUUCCACUGGGAGGAUAGUGGCGAACGGGUGAGUAACACGUGGGUAACCUGCCCAUAAGAGGGGGAUAACAUCCGGAAACGGGUGCUAAUACCGCAUAGUUUUCUUGAUCGCAUGAUUGAGAAAGGAAAGACGGCCUUUGUGCUGUCGCUUAUGGAUGGACCCGCGGCGUAUUAGUUAGUUGGUGAGGUAACGGCUCACCAAGACGAUGAUACGUAGCCGACCUGAGAGGGUGAUCGGCCACAUUGGGACUGAGACACGGCCCAAACUCCUACGGGAGGCAGCAGUAGGGAAUCUUCCGCAAUGGACGAAAGUCUGACGGAGCAACGCCGCGUGAGUGAAAGAAGGUUUUCGGAUCGUAAAACUCUGUUGUCAGAGAAGAACAAGUUGGAGAGUAACUGCUCCAGCCUUGACGGUAUCUGACCAGAAAGCCACGGCUAACUACGUGCCAGCCGCCGC